UCUGUUAUGUCAUGUCCACUG
rnacentral:siRNA from 1 species